GGAUAUAGCGCAGUUGGUAGAGUGCCUGCAUCUACCAAAGCACAAGGCCCUGGGUUCAAUCCCCAGCACCA
rnacentral:tRNA from 1 species